GAUGAACGCUGGCGGCAUGCCUAAUACAUGCAAGUCGGGCGAGUUGAUCCCUUCGGGGUGAAGCUAGCGGCGGACGGGUAAGUAACACGUGGGCAACCUGCCUCAUAGAGGGGAAUAGCCUCCCGAAAGGGAGAUUAAUACCGCAUAAGAUUGUAGCUUCGCAUGAAGUAGCAAUUAAAGGAGCAAUCCGCUAUGAGAUGGGCCCGCGGCGCAUUAGCUAGUUGGUGAGGUAACGGCUCACCCAAGGCGACGAUGCGUAGCCGACCUGAGAGGGUGAUCGGGCCACAUUGGGACUGGGACACGGGCCCCAGACUCCUACGGGAGGCAGCAGUGGGGAAUAUUGCACAA
rnacentral:rRNA from 1 species